GCCCCGUUAGCUCAAUUGGUAGAGCAGCCGCCUCGUAAGCGGCAGGUUCGCGGUUCAAGUCCGCGACGAGGCCC
rnacentral:tRNA from 1 species